rnacentral:tRNA from 1 species
GGGGAUAUAGCUCAUAUGGUAGAGCUCUCGCUUCACAUGUGAGAGGCAUGGGGUUUGAUUCCCUGCAUUUCCA